GAAAUUGUCUUUCCCAUUCUUUCCCCCGACCCUGCAACGAAGAAAGACGUUCACUUCUUAAAAUAUCCAAUAUAUGUGGGUGGAAAUAGAGGAAGGGGUCAGAUUUAUCCUGAUGGGAGCAAGAGUAACAAUACAGUCUAUAAUGCUACAUCAGCGGGAAUAGUAAGCAGAAUAGUACGUAAAGAAAAGGGGGGAUAUGAAAUAACCAUAGUUGAUGCAUCAGAUGGACAUCAAGUGGUUGAUAUUGUACCUCCAGGACCGGAACUUCUUAUUUCAGAGGGUGAAUCCAUCAAGCUUGAUCAACCAUUAACAAGUAAUCCUAAUGUAGGAGGUUUUGGUCAGG
rnacentral:misc_RNA from 1 species